AUUGAACGCUGGCGGCAGGCUUAACACAUGCAAGUCGAGCGGGGUGAUGGUGCUUGCACUAUCACUUAGCGGCGGACGGGUGAGUAAUGCUUAGGAAUCUGCCUAUUAGUGCGGGACAACAUCUCGAAAGGGAUGCUAAUACCGCAUACGUCCUACGGGAGAAAGCAGGGGAUCACUUGCGACCUUGCGCUAAUAGAUGAGUCUAAGGCGGAUUAGCUAGUUGGUGGGGUACAGGCCUACCAAGGCGACGAUCUGUAGCGGGUCUGAGAGGAUGAUCCGCCACACUGGGACUGAGACACGGCCCAGACUCCUACGGGAGGCAGCAGUGGGGAAUAUUGGACAAUGGGGGGAACCCUGAUCCAGCCAUGCCGCGUGUGGGAAGAAGGCCUUAUGGUUGUAAAGCACUUUAAGCGAGGAGGAGGCUCUUUUGGUUAAUACCCAAGAUGAGUGGACGUUACUCGCAGAAUAAGCACCGGCUAACUCUGUGCCAGCAGCCGCGGUAA
rnacentral:rRNA from 1 species